rnacentral:tRNA from 1 species
GCCCCGAUAGCUUAAUUUAAAGCGCCGGUCUUGUAAGCCGAAGAUUGUAGCCUAGCACCUACUCAGGGCA